GCGCCUGUCGUAUAAGGGUCAUUACCCGAGCCUUCCAAGCUCGUGAUGGCGGUUCGAGUCCGCUCGGGCGCU
rnacentral:tRNA from 2 species